rnacentral:rRNA from 1 species
AUUGAACGCUGGCGGCAUGCUUUACACAUGCAAGUCGAACGGCAGCGCGGGCUUCGGCCUGGCGGCGAGUGGCGAACGGGUGAGUAAUGCAUCGGAACGUGCCCAGUAGUGGGGGAUAGCCCGGCGAAAGCCGGAUUAAUACCGCAUACGACCUGAGGGUGAAAGCGGGGGACCGAAAGGCCUCGCGCUAUUGGAGCGGCCGAUGUCGGAUUAGCUAGUUGGUGGGGUAAAGGCUUACCAAGGCGACGAUCCGUAGCUGGUCUGAGAGGACGAUCAGCCACACUGGGACUGAGACACGGCCCAGACUCCUACGGGAGGCAGCAGUGGGGAAUUUUGGACAAUGGGGGCAACCCUGAUCCAGCCAUGCCGCGUGCGGGAAGAAGGCCUUCGGGUUGUAAACCGCUUUUGUUCGGGAAGAAAUCCUCUGGGCUAAUACCCCGGGGGGAUGGCGGUACCGGAAGAAUAAGCACCGGCUAACUACGUG